rnacentral:rRNA from 1 species
UGGGGAAUUUUGGACAAUGGGCGCAAGCCUGAUCCAGCCAUGCCGCGUGCAGGAUGAAGGCCUUCGGGUUGUAAACUGCUUUUGUACGGAACGAAAAGGUGCCUUCUAAUAAAGGGCGCUCAUGACGGUACCGUAAGAAUAAGCACCGGCUAACUACGUGCCAGCAGCCGCGGUAAUACGUAGGGUGCAAGCGUUAAUCGGAAUUACUGGGCGUAAAGCGUGCGCAGGCGGUUCGGAAAGAAAGGUGUGAAAUCCCAGGGCUUAACCUUGUAACUGCCCUUUUAACGACCGGGCUAGAGUACGUCAGAGGGGGGUAGAAUUCCACGUGUAGCAGUGAAAUGCGUAGAGAUGUGGAGGAAUACCGAUGGCGAAGGCAGCCCCCUGGGAUGAUACUGACGCUCAUGCACGAAAGCGUGGGGAGCAAA